rnacentral:tRNA from 1 species
CACCAAGAAGCUUCUACAGCACUAGCCUUUUAAGCUAGAGAGGGAAACUAAAAUAUUCCCUUGGUGA